UACGUAGGUGGCAAGCGUUGUCCGGAAUUAUUGGGCGUAAAGCGCGCGCAGGCGGUUCUUUAAGGCUGAUGUGAAAGCCCACGGCUCAACCGUGGAGGGUCAUUGGAAACUGGAGAACUUGAGUACAGAAGAGGAAAGCGGAAUUCCACGUGUAGCGGUGAAAUGCGUAGAGAUGUGGAGGAACACCAGUGGCGAAGGCGGCUUUCUGGUCUGUAACUGACGCUGAGGCGCGAAAGCGUGGGGAGCAAUCCGG
rnacentral:rRNA from 1 species